CCGCCCCAAAACUGAGUCACGUGAUCCAAGCCCAGAGGAGGCUACGCGGGGAACAGGAAAGAGUCAUCCAAGUGCAGUGGCAAAACAAAAUCCAGGAUGCCUGGCAAUGGCCUAGGAUAGAGUGGAUGACCUUGGCAUCUUCCAUGUCUGACCAAGAUCUAAGCACUCCACAGUGCCUGCUUCUGCCAACUUCAUGGUCAUUGGAACAAAUUGUCCUCAUCUGCCCAUUCCACAGAGGGAAAUCUUCACAUGCUUGAGGUGGACAAGCCUCCUAACUCACCAACCAGUUUGAAGCCUGUCAGUUACCCUCACCCUGGUUUUGCCCGUCUGCCCAGAUGGUUUACUGGGGUGUGGCCACUGUGCAUGCUACAGCUUCUCAGAGCCUCAGGUGAGAGUUAGUUGCCAGGUGGACAUCAAAAGUAGAGGAGCAGCCCUGAAAAGGCUUGGCAAGCCCUCAUACCAGAGGUACAAGUACUCCCAAACAUCCAUACAACCCACAUGGAAGUUAAUGUCAAAGGAAGACACUAGCCUUGAGGGGGAUUGAGAAGGAUCUCUUUGCAGAAGAUAAAUUGGAGCUGAAUUUUGAAGGAAGCAAACCAAAGCUAGGAGGCAGAGAAGACAAACAAGAAGAUUCCGGGUAUGAGAACAGGUGAUGGAAAUGCAUGAAGGCUAGAGGGAGAGUAGAGUGUGUAAGGAAUAGCAGAGCCUUUUGGAUAAUGGAGUGGAUGGAGAGGAAUAAAGCAGAAGACUUGGAAGGUAGGAAGGGCUGAGGAUGUAAAGGGCUUUAAAUGCCAAACAGGAUUGUCCAUUUGAUCCUGGUGCUGAUAGGUAACCAAUGGCGUUUACCAAGUAGAGAAGUGACCAAGUCAGACCUGAACCUUAAAAUCAGUUUAGAGGAUGGACUGAAAUGGUGAUAGACUUGGGGCAGAGUGAGAAAAUCAACUAAAACGGAUAUUGCUAUAGACCUGGUGAGAAGAAAUGGUGGUGGGAGCAGUAUGACUAAAGAGAAGAGGAUGUAUACAAGAGCUGGUAAAAAUAAGAUUACCAUGGGGCAACUAGUGACUCCUUAGAUAGAGAGUCAGGCCUAGAGUCAAGAGGUCAUGGGUUCAAAUCUGACCUGAAAUACUUUUUAGCUAUAUGACCCUGGACAAGUCACUUGACCCUAAUGCCUAGCCUUUACUACUCUUCUGACUUAGAACCAAUAUUUAGUAUUGAUACUAAGACAGAAGGCAAGGUUUUUUGUUGUUGCUGUUUUUUUAAUAAAUAAGACUGGACAA